AUGAACGCUAGCUACAGGCUUAACACAUGCAAGUCGAGGGGCAGCAUGGGGUAGCAAUACUCAGAUGGCGACCGGCGCACGGGUGAGUAACACGUAUCCAACCUGCCGCUUACUCGGGGAUAGCCUUUCGAAAGAAAGAUUAAUACCCGAUGGUAUAAAGAGUUCGCAUGUUCUCUUAUUAAAGAAUUUCGGUAAGCGAUGGGGAUGCGUUCCAUUAGAUAGUUGGCGGGGUAACGGCCCACCAAGUCUACGAUGGAUAGGGGUUCUGAGAGGAAGGUCCCCCACAUUGGAACUGAGACACGGUCCAAACUCCUACGGGAGGCAGCAGUGAGGAAUAUUGGUCAAUGGACGAGAGUCUGAACCAGCCAAAAGUAGCGUGAAGGAUGACUGCCCUAUGGGUUGUAAACUUCUUUUAUAAGGGAAUAAAGUGAGGGACGUGUCCCUUUUUGUAUGUACCUUAUGAAUAAGGAUCGGCUAACUCCGUGCCAGCCGCGGC
rnacentral:rRNA from 1 species